rnacentral:rRNA from 1 species
GAUCUUGGUUCAGGAUGAACGCUAGCUACAGGCUUAACACAUGCAAGUCGAGGGGCAGCAUUGGAGUAGCAAUACUCAGAUGGCGACCGGCGCACGGGUGAGUAACACGUAUCCAACCUGCCGCUUACUCGGGGAUAGCCUUUCGAAAGAAAGAUUAAUACCCGAUGGUAUAAAGAGUUCGCAUGUUCUCUUUAUUAAAGAAUUUCGGUAAGCGAUGGGGAUGCGUUCCAUUAGAUAGUUGGCGGGGUAACGGCCCACCAAGUCUACGAUGGAUAGGGGUUCUGAGAGGAAGGUCCCCCACAUUGGAACUGAGACACGGUCCAAACUCCUACGGGAGGCAGCAGUGAGGAAUAUUGGUCAAUGGACGAGAGUCUGAACCAGCCAAAGUAGCGUGAAGGAUGACUGCCCUAUGGGUUGUAAACUUCUUUUAUAAGGGAAUAAAGUGAGGGACGUGUCCCUUUUUGUAUGUACCUUAUGAAUAAGGAUCGGCUAACUCCGUGCCAGCCGCGGC